ensembl:snRNA U6 U6 spliceosomal RNA
GUGCUCACUUCAGCAGCACAUAUACUGAAAUUGGAAUGUGUGGCCCCCAUACAAGGAUGACAUGCAAAUUUAUGAAGUGUUCCAUAUUUUA